rnacentral:misc_RNA from 1 species
GAUGAAGAACGCAGCAAAAUGCGAUACUUGGUGUGAAUUGCAGAAUCCAGUGAAUCAUCGAAUCUUUGAACGCACAUUGCGCCCCCUGGUAUUCCGGGGGGCAUACCUGUUCGAGCGUCAUUUCACCACUCAAGCCUCGCUUGGUAUUGGGCAACGCGGUCCGCCGCGUGCCUCAAAUCGACCGGCUGGGUCUUCUGUCCCCUAAGCGUUGUGGAAACUAUUCGCUAAAGGGUGUUCGGGAGGCUACGCCGUAAAACAACCCCAUUUCUAAGGUUGACCUCGGAUCAGGUAGGGAUACCCGCUGAACUUAAGCAUAUCAAUAAGCGGAGGA